rnacentral:lncRNA from 1 species
UUUCAAUUUAAAAUUUGAACCUAAAAUCAAAAUAAAAAUUUAAAAUUUGAGUUCAAAAUUAUAAUCAAAUUGCAAAAAGCACGUUUUAGCUAUUUUUUUAUUCUGAGUCUAGAAAAUUAGAAAACUGAUUCUAAAAAUCAGAAUCAUAUUUUGAAAACGAGGUUACAAACACUCUAUUAAGCCGAAAAUUAUUUUUAAACCAAAAAUCACUUUUAAAAAGCUAGUCCAAAUGCCUAAAUUAUAAAAUUUGAGACCGGAGUCACGAACCUAAAUUUAAGAAUAUCCAUGCCCAUACCCUUAUCAAUAUUCACACUCCUUUAAAAAAAAAAAAAAGUUUUUUUCUUUCCACAAAUACCCCUCAAUUAAAAUAUAACAACAAAAAUGAUAUUAUGGUCUUAUCGGUUAACUAUUUGAUAAUUUUAGAUUUUCUAUGAUAAAAUUAUUAUAGAGAUAUUUUAAAACCGUUAAAUCUCAUCCAAUGAAUGACAAUUAAAAUAUCCGUCACUUGUUUUCUUUGAUAGAAUUAUCUUUUUUUUGCAAGAUUUUCAAAUUCUUAAAAAAUUGAAUUCUCUUAAAUCGCGCGUCAAACUCCACUUUCUCACAUUAAAACUCUCUCUCUGGUUCCCAUAAAUUUUUCUCAUUUCAAUUUCCCACUUCACAUCCUCCUGCCCCACCUUUAAAAAAAAAAAAAAAAAAAAAAAGCUUUCUCUCUCUCGGCUAAACAAAAAAAAAAAAAAAAAAAAAAAAAAAAAAAAAAAAAAAACCUUUU